ACCACCACCACCACCACGAGGCCGACCUCCGGCUCGCUGACGCGUCGCUCGCGUCUGGGUCGGGCCUCCGGUGACGGUGGGGGGGUCGACCGGCUGCCGCCCGCGGGCCUGAGACACGGCCGGCGGCUCGCCGACUGAGUCACAGGUGGGACGAGCCGGGUCCGCAGCGUCCGCGACUCGGUCGGAACUUCCGGGGUCGACCAGCUGCCGCCCGCGAGCUCCGGACUUAGUGGGAGCCGGCGUCUCGCCGCGCUUCGGGUCGACCGGCAGGCCGCAGGCGGCAGGCGGCAGGCGGCAGGCGGCCGGAGACGGUCCCGCCGGUCGCUCCGGCGCACCGGCGCGAGGGCCCCUAUCCCCGCCCACGCGCGGGCGGCCCUCACCGGCCUCAGCCUUCGGUGUAGCUGCGACCACGCGGAACUCCCUCUCCUGCAUUUUUUUCGGCCCCACUUGGAGUUUGCUUCCGCGGGACUUUUAAGAGGGAGUCACUGUUGCCGUCGCUCAGCAAUACUUCUUCCUCCUCCUGUUUGUUUUUGCUUUUGCUUUUGUCUUCUUGUGCUUCCCCCUCCGCCCCCCGCCUUCUUCUGGAGAUGGAGUCUCGCUCCGUCGCCCGGGCUGGAGCUGGAGUUGAGAGUGCAGUGGUGCCUUCUCGGCCUCACUGUUGCCGCUGACUCUGCCCCCAGGGUUCGACCGACCAGCUAUUUUUGUCUCGAGUAAAGACGGAAUGUCACCAUGUUGGCCAGGCUGAUCUCGAACUCCUGACCUCGGGGGGACACGCACGCACGCGCGCGCGCACACACACACACACACACACACACGUAGUGAUGAAACUAUAUUUCCAUAUUAUAAAUACUAAUUUUAAUAUAUGAAUAUGUAUUAAAACCCCAUUUCAUUUACAUAUAAAUGGAUAUGUAUUUCCUUCUUUCGUUAUUUAUUAUUUUUUAUAUUUACUUUGGUUUAUUUUUUGUCUUUUCUUCAUUGGCCUGCCUGAUCUUCUCACUCUGGGCUCUGGUGACCUCAGCCUCCCCAGUAGCUAGGACUACGGGGAUCUCUUAAGCCCGGGAGGCAGAGGCUAACGUGGGCUGCGAUCGCGCACUUCCACUCCAGCUUACGUGAGGAUCACCCCAGCCUCCACGCUUUGGACCGACCGAGAAGAGGUCGUCCUGCCUCUGAUCCCUCCCAUCCCCAUUACCUGGGACUACAGGCACGCACCACCACACCGGUUGACUUUUAUGUUGUUUCUCAUGUUUUCCGUAGGUGUCUUCUCACAUGUCGACGUGAUCUCAAACUGUUAGGCCCCAGCGAUCCUCCCACGUCGGCCUCCCAGAGUGCUGUGACGACACCUGUGAGUCACGACGCAGUGUCACUCUUGUCGCCCAGGGUGGAGUCCGAUGGCGCGAUCUCGGCUCACCGCAACCUCCGCCUCCUAGGUUCGACUGAUUCUCCUGCCUCAGCCUUCCCGGGUGACGGGAAUGCGCCAUCAUGCCCGGCUAAUUUUCCUAUUUUCGGUACACGCGGGGUCUCUCCAUCUUGGUCAGUCUCGUCUUCAACUUCCGACCGUUGGAGAAUUUUAACUUUCUUGGUGGUUGCUUCUCUUUUUUUUUUUUUUUUUCGUUUUUCUUUUCUUUCCUUCU